rnacentral:misc_RNA from 1 species
CGCAGCCGCGGUAAUUCCAGCUCCAAUAGCGUAUAUUAAAGUUGUUGCAGUUAAAAAGCUCGUAGUUGAAUUUCGGGGUCAGUAGGUUGGUCAUGCCUUUGGUAUGUACUGGUCUCACUGAUUCCUCCCUCUUGAAGAACUGUAAUGUCAUUAAUUUGGUGUUGCGGGGAAUCAGGACUGUUACUUUGAAAAAAUUAGAGUGUUUAAAGCAGGCUUACGCUUGGAUACAUUAGCAUGGAAUAAUGAAAUAGGACGUCUGAUCCUAUUUUGUUGGUUUCUAGGAUUGACGUAAUGAUUAAUAGGGAUAGUUGGGGGCAUUAGUAUUCAAUUGUCAGAGGUGAAAUUCUUGGAUUUAUUGAAGACUAACUACUGCGAAAGCAUUUGCCAAGGAUGUUUUCAUUAAUCAAGAACGAAAGUUAGGGGAUCGAAGACGAUCAGAUACCGUCGUAGUCUUAACCAUAAACUAUGCCGACUAGGGAUCGGAUGAUGUUAAUUUUUUAAUGACUCAUUCGGCGCCUUA